GUGGACAAAUCGAAGGAGAAAUGGCGAAGAGGUGGCUACCCUUUUCGCUCCUGUUUCUAGUUCUCUCCCUGUACUGUGCUGCGUCGGCUGAUAACAGCGGCCUUAAGAAAAUGAAGAUGCAGUUUGCAACAGGGCCACUUCUUAAAUUCCAAAUCUGCAUCUCCUGAGGGUACAAGCGGGUGUUUGAGGAGUACAUGCAGGUCUUGUACCAGCGUUACCCAGACAUCCGCAUUGAGGGGGAGAACUACCUUCCUCUACCCCUCUACCGCCACGUUGCUUCCUUCCUGUCCAUGUUCAAGCUGGCACUGAUCGGACUGAUCAUUAUCGGCAAGGACCCCUUCGCCCUCUGCGGUAUGCAAGCCCCAGGCAUCUGGGUCUGGGGUCAGGAGAAUAAGAUUUAUGCCUGCAUGAUGGUAUUCUUUUUCAGCAACAUGAUUGAAAACCAGUGUAUGUCAACAGGAGCUUUUGAAAUCACAUUAAACGAUGUGCCAGUGUGGUCCAAGCUGGAGUCGGGUCACCUGCCCUCCAUGCAGCAGCUGGUCCAGAUCCUGGAGAACGAGAUGAAGAUGAAUGUACCCAUGGACCACCGCUCCUAACCCUGCCUUUACGCCCCUCUCGGAUGGAGCCAAAGACCCCUCCACGUUUGAGGUGGGUUUCUCAAUGGACUGUGAGGUGAUGUUUAUGAAGGUCUGCGCUGAAGGCAGGAAGACUGCUAGCUCAGACUGGAUGUCCCCAUCGCUUCUCACCACGUCCCUACGAGAUGCCCCUCCCCUAAUGCUGGACUGGGAUCCACGGCAACCGUGAUGGCCAUUUUCUCUACUAUUACUACUGCAGAUCAUUCAUCCUGGUGCAAUAAACGUUCAGCUUUGGCUCUUGCGCUCACAAGGAUCAAUUCAAGCUCACCAAUGUUGACUUUCAUGUGGAUGGUCAAAUUAAUAUUGAGUUCUUUAGUUAGCCACACAUAAUCAAUAUGUUUUUUUUUUUUACCCAUUAUGUGUAGUUUAACCAUUUGUUAGUCUUAAUUUAACUUAGUUACAUGUAGAACAUCUUACAUAGUCUGAUCAUGAGCAUUUGAAUGACGUUUAACAUUGAAAUUUCUGAAUUCUGGUAAUUUUUUAAUCUUUGCAUAGCUGGAAGUGGAGCUAAGACGAUGAAUAAAUGUCUAAUGGUGAAAGA